AAAUUUAAACGUAUCAUUUAUUUACAUUUUUUUCUUUUUAGUACCAAGUAACAGUGAUUUGUGUGUACUGAACUAUCAACAUAUUAAACUGCAGACCCAUACCAAGACUGUUGAUAGAUAUGUAGAUUGACGCAUGCUGACUGGGGACUAUGGGUAUGGAAAACCAUUUUGCAGUAAUUAGGAAUGUGCAGCUGAAGAUGGUCAAAGAUCAAAGGCCAAGACUGAUG